GUUAAAUGAUUUGAAUUGAUGAGUUGAUGCUCUGUAAGGUAUAACAGUUAAUAGCAUGUAAGAGUUCUGAUGAAA
rnacentral:snoRNA from 17 species